rnacentral:lncRNA from 1 species
CGAGGCCUCGACGCUGUCGGUCGGGUUGGCCUUUAAAAACUUGUCCUGCCACGAGCGAAAGACGUAUUUGCCAUCGUCCAGACGGAUGGACGCCCAACGCUCCCAGGCCUGUGCGGUGACGGCGUUGGCCGACACGCCGUCAUAACUGUGCGCCGUCAAAUACUUGCCACUAACAGACGACCGCAGGGCGACAAUGGGCGCCACCGGGUGCGUGUACUCGACGAUCACGCCGCCGGCGCCGCCGGGACUGUCGGCAUAGUAGCGGUACGGCGGGCACACAUAGGCCGAACCGCCGCCGGCGCCGCUGUUGGUCCCCGGAUGCUGCUCGAAUCGGGUCUGGCCCGCGCCUCCGUUGCCGCCAAAUCCGGCGGCGCCGCCCCAUGAGGCACAUGCCACGGUGGUGGUGCCCGACCCGCCGGUCCACGAGCGACCGGGCGAGGUCCAGUCGGCGCCAACGAUAAAUGCACUGCCGCCAUGGCCGGCACCGGCUCCGCCUGCCUUGAUAUCGCCAAUCAUGGCGCCCUGCAGCGGCUGUGCCGAGGCGCUGUUGUCGGCGGCGCCCGGUGGGUUGCCGCCUCCCGGCAGCGGACCCACGGCAGACGAGUUGGCACCGCCGCCACCGCCGCCACGGCAUGCCGUCGCACUUUCGGCGCUUGCUCCGCCGCCGCCAUAGGCCGUUGCACGAAAGAGCACUGUGCCAUUGGGCGCCCGCGCCACCACGUGGGUCGCGCCGCCGUCGCCACCUCGAUUCAGACCCUCGGGAUCGGUCUCGGGGUUGCCGGCGCCACCGUGCCCUAUCUCAAUCUCCCACUGGAUCUGGUUCGAGGACAGGCCCCACGCGGCAUCGCCCGCCGGACGGUUGACGAUGGCCGCGCCGCUGCCGCCGCCGGCGCCGCAUUGAGCGUUGGCCGCUGCGCCGCCGCCACCGCCCCAAAGGGUGAGAGCAAUGUUGGUGGCGUUGGCCGGCGGCGACCACGUCUGCGACGAGGUCAGAAAGACGCUUUGUCGAUGACCGUGGAUGGGCGUGGCGGCGCAUGCCAACAAUAGGGCGAGCACUAGCAGCACAGAGGCGGUCAUGGUGGCCGAUGUCAUUGCAACGACCGUGCGCGUCAGUCGAGGCUGUCUGGUCGGUCGGCGGUGGUUGAGGGUUGUCUCUUUUCCUUGUUUUUUUGGCGGGAGAGGACACGGCCAGCCUUUUUGCCUUUUUGUACUGUUCUAUUCUUGCCCGUGGCCAGUAUCGCGCUUUUCCCACCGCUGCCAAGAAUACAUAGGGCUCGCCAAUCGUCG